UUCCUUUUACCUCUGCAAAAAACAUUUCUUUUAUUAAGAAUACCGGAGCUUUUUCUGGGGUUUCAUCUUUUCAAAUGAUGAUAGUAUUAGUUGUUCUUGGCGAAGGUUAUAGCCACUAUUUGUGUGUUUUACCAUGCCAAUGUAUUCAUAGCUGCAAUCUGCACUAUCAUGACUGUACAUGCCUUUUGGGAAACUGUGUUCAUUGGUGCGCUUCUUUGAAAAACUGAGGUUAUAACUGUGAUUGUGAAAAGGUCUUCCAUUGCUUUUAUGGCAGAGCUUAACUUUUCUCUGUGAAGGAACUCGAGCUAUCUCAGGCUUCUUAUUACUGCAACCUUUUGUGAAUCUGUGUUUUCCGUUCCAUAUGGCUGUGUAAUUUUGAGGUUCUUGACAGUGAAUAUUAUGACUAUUCCAAAACCCUUGGAAUUCGUUGCUUUGCUCUAGCAAUGGUGACCAUGUUUAUAUAUCUUUGCUUUUUUUAUGGUCAUUACUUAGGGUGUAAUGUGGCGAACAAGAUAAACAAAGCUUUUAUUUUAUGACUAUGUAUUGAUGCUCUAUUCUCAUGGGUUUGGAUUGAAAAUGUUGUCUUUAAAAGGCAAUGUCUUCAGUCUUGAGAAUGAAAGAUCUUUGUGUGAACACCCCUCUUUUCUUUUAUGAACCCUUAAAGGCAUUCUUAUGUUAGAGACAAGCUUUUACUGUUCUGAUAUGUAGAUUGUAUCUUUGUCCAUGCUAUGAUCUCAUUUAACUGAUCUCUCCAUUGAUUUGAAUGCUUUGUGUGUGAAUGGUUUGAGUUGUUUGAAGAUGGUUGUCUUUUGAAUUUAACAGGGACUGCUCUUAAUCAGGGUUUCACAGAGAUAAAAGAGAUAUGAGUUGAACCUUUUGUUAACCCUUACGGCUAUCUUGGGUGUUCCAUGUAUUUCUCCUUAAUGGAUUGUAUAUCACUAUGUCUCAUAUAAAAUCAUAACACCUCCAUGAUGCACUAAUCUCAAUGCGUAUCACUAUCAUUAAAUUCUCUUUGAAGGUUGCUAUAGGCUUUAUCCCUUAUAUCUUGAUAUUUAGUGUCCAUUCAAAUCUGUGUGACAAGCUUGUUGCUAUGUGGGCGUGUGCAUAAAGAUGGUGGUUAGAAAAGUGGACACCACUCAAAAAAAACAUGGAAAAACAAGCAGCGUGUACGCGGUUUUAAAAUUUGAAAUUCUUGCGUACGCGCUUAGGUUUGUUCUUCCCGAGCCUAGAGAAGAUAGCGCAUACGCGUUGCUUUUAGAAAAAUGAGCGCGUACGCGUUAUGAUUAGGAAAAUGAGCGUGUACAUACUAAUAAUCCAAAUAAAACCACAUACGCAGUGCUUGGUAAAAAAAAGUUUUUUAAAAAAAUUUGGGUCUCAUUUACCCUUGAAUAGCACAUUUUUAACCUCAUUUUUUCUCCAUUUCCUCUCCUAAACCGCGAGCAGGGUGCUAGAUUUGUCCUCCAAGCUAUGGAUCAAGGUUAGUUUUUGUUUAUUUUUGUCUUUCUUUCCGAUUUAUGCAAUUUGUUUUACAUUUUGAAUUUAAUUUCAUUAAUUUUGAUUAGGUUAUUUCAUUUUUUGUUUCAAAAACCAAAUUCUUCUAAUCCAGAACAAAAACAACCAAAUGCACCUCCUAAAAACCCACAACAACAACCCCCAAUUCCUCCUUUUGACCGCACACCUGAAACAUAGGAAGAAUUAAUUAAUCAGUUAGGACAAAAUACGUCUAAAAUCAAUAGACUGAUUGUUAAAUUAAAAACUUCUAAACUUGACCAUCAUCAAUCCCUCGCCACUAGCCUAGAAACAUUAGCUAGUGGUGCCAUAGCCGUUUCCACAGAAAUUACCAAAUGGGGAAGUUUUAAGGAUAGGUGUUGUCAAUUCUAUGCCAAUGGGCUAUCAUACGAUGGAGUAAAAAACAAAAAUAUUACUAAACAACAAAUAUGUGCCCUUUUUGUUGAUCCCAAAACUGGUCAGUCAUUACCUCUUAAUGCAAAGAGGUUUCCCAUACAUUGGUGUACCAAUGUGCAGAUGAAGAAUCUUUUUUGGCAGAGGUGGUGGAUGGUCUUUGAUGAUCCACCUUGUAAUAAUUAUGAGGUGCCAUUAUAUUUUUCGAGAAAAAUAUAUUGUGAGUUUGUGCUCAAUGUGCGGCCAAACUAUUUUGACAUGAGAGAGUUUCAUGGUAGAGGUGGUGGCUCUGCCCAAGAUAGACCUAGAGCUCGUAGAUGAUUACCCGUGGAGAGUUGCCACCCCCUAGCACCCAAACCCAAGGUGCAUCAGGUUGUCCCAUUAGAGAUGAAAGAGUCGAUGGAGCUACAGACUCUUCAAGCGGCCACAACAUUGACUAGUGCCAUCAUCCAGCAUGGGACGUCAUGAGCACACCCUAUUGUAUUGGAUGAUGAGCCAUUAGAGGGCGACAGAGAGCCCAUCCAACAUAUGUGUGUCAGUUGCUCGGGGAUAUGCUCGGGGAUAGAUGAUGCAGUCGAUGCAAAUGGAUCCUCAUAUCAUUUGUGCACGAUUUGCGGUUGUAGAUGUCAGGCUCACACAGUUGAGGAUGUCAUGUUGACAGAUGAGUUGAUGGACAUGGUGUUUGCCCAUGAGCCAUAGACACAAGUGUGUUGAUUUGAAUUCAUAACAUUUUAUUUAUCAGUCACUUUAAAUUUGUAAUUACAUAAAUGAAUUUUCAUUUAUACAUCGAUUUAAAUUGAGACAAAUAAUAUGCAUCUCAGGAUGCAGCAGCGGUAUCCCAUACACCUCCCCCAGUUACUAUAGCUGCAACUUUGAUGCCCGAGGUAUAAAUUUUGUAACAUGUUAAAAUAGAAUAGUACACUUUGAAUUCAAAAAAAUACAAGAUAUACUAACUAUCUUUAAUGCUUAGUCCAAUUUCUGGUUUGUAGGUGUUGACAGGGGACGAAAUGUCCCAGAUUGAUGACAUCACGCUCUCAACGAUCGAAUUUGGCCUACAAGGCUAUACGGGUACCCCCUCCAUGUAUAGGGCUCGUCAUAAGAAAAAUAAUUCCUCAAAAACGCCAAAACGUGGGAAGACGGUAAUUGAACACAUUUUUAGUUGUACAAUUGUUUGAAAAUGUUGAAAUCAAAUAUUAGUUGGGGUUUGUAGAUUGAUUAGUGUUUUUUGUCUAUUUUACAUGUACAACGGCCAUUGAGCUUUGUGGAUUUGUUGAAUGCACCCGAUUUGCUUGCGGAUCAAGAGAGGGCGGAGGAAAUAUCCAUACCUAUUUCAUCAAUGGCGAACCCUCCUCCUUGCACCGGAGAAGCAUCUCAGGAUCCGGUAAUAGCGACAAUUUCUACAUCGAUGGUGAGCCAUCCUCAGUCCAUUGGAGAAGCAUCUCAGGCACAAACCCCUUCGCGGUGCAACCAUAACGUGGAUCCAUUUAAGUAUGUCUUCAAGAAAACUCCUAAGAGUGACAAGAAGAGGAGAGCGAAGACAUUAGCUCCUAGAUCAGCCGAUGAGAUAAUCUACAUUUCAAUUGUAAAUGAAUUAAAGUUAAAUGCAUAGUUAUGUUGUUAAUUGUGAACUAUGUUCUACAAAAGAAUUAUAACUUGGCUUUUGAAUUGUGGUUUUGCAACCAUCUAUAGAGCCGCGUACUGCAUCGAAGAGGCUUGAUUUUGAUGAUCCACCACAAGUUUAGGAUCAUAUAGUGUUAGUUUUGGUCAUAGAAUGACCAAUACAUGUAGAUAUAUUCUACAUUUUUAUUGUAUAUCGAUUUGGACAUGGCAUAUGCCACAUUUUUGUAAUACUUGUAU